rnacentral:rRNA from 1 species
GACGGAGGAUGCAAGUGUUAUCCGGAAUCACUGGGCGUAAAGCGUCUGUAGGUGGUUUAAAAAGUCCACUGUUAAAGAUUGAAGCUUAACUUCAAAAAUGCCGUGGAAACUUUUAAACUUGAGUAUGAUAGGGGUAGAGGGAAUUUCCAGUGGAGCGGUGAAAUGCGUAGAUAUUGGAAAGACCACCAAUGGCGAAAGCACUCUGCUGGGCCGACACUGACACUGAGAGACGAAAGCUAGGGGAGCGAAUGGG